rnacentral:rRNA from 1 species
UACGUAGGGUGCAAGCGUUGUCCGGAAUUAUUGGGCGUAAAGAGCUCGUAGGCGGUUUGUCGCGUCUGCCGUGAAAGUCCGGGGCUCAACUCCGGAUCUGCGGUGGGUACGGGCAGACUAGAGUGAUGUAGGGGAGACUGGAAUUCCUGGUGUAGCGGUGAAAUGCGCAGAUAUCAGGAGGAACACCGAUGGCGAAGGCAGGUCUCUGGGCAUUAACUGACGCUGAGGAGCGAAAGCAUGGGGAGCGAACAGGAUAGAA